GAUGAACGCUGGCGGUGUGCUUAACACAUGCAAGUCGCACGAAGCACUUUAAAACAAUCUUUCGGGUGCGUUUUAUUGUGACUUAGUGGCGGACGGGUGAGUAACGCGUGGGUAACCUGCCUCAUGCAGGGGGAUAACAGUUAGAAAUGACUGCUAAUACCGCAUAAGCGCACAGAACCGCAUGGUACAGUGUGAAAAGAUUUAUCAGCAUGAGAUGGACCCGCGUCUGAUUAGCUAGUUGGUGAGGUAACGGCUCACCAAGGCGACGAUCAGUAGCCGACUUGAGAGAGUGAUCGGCCACAUUGGGACUGAGACACGGCCCAAACUCCUACGGGAGGCAGCAGUGGGGAAUAUUGCACAAUGGGGGAAACCCUGAUGCAGCGACGCCGCGUGAGCGAUGAAGUAUUUCGGUAUGUAAAGCUCUAUCAGCAAGGAAGAUAAUGACGGUACUUGACUAAGAAGCCCCGGCUAACUACGUGCCAGCCGCCGCCGUAAUAC
rnacentral:rRNA from 1 species